AUUGAACGCUGGCGGCAGGCCUAACACAUGCAAGUCGAGCGGAUGAGUGGAGCUUGCUCCAUGAUUCAGCGGCGGACGGGUGAGUAAUGCCUAGGAAUCUGCCUAUUAGUGGGGGACAACGUUUCGAAAGGAACGCUAAUACCGCAUACGUCCUACGGGAGAAAGCAGGGGACCUUCGGGCCUUGCGCUAAUAGAUGAGCCUAGGUCGGAUUAGCUAGUUGGUGAGGUAAUGGCUCACCAAGGCGACGAUCCGUAACUGGUCGGAGAGGAUGAUCAGUCACACUGGAACUGAGACACGGUCCAGACUCCUACGGGAGGCAGCAGUGGGGAAUAUUGGACAAUGGGCGAAAGCCUGAUCCAGCCAUGCCGCGUGUGUGAAGAAGGUCUUCGGAUUGUAAAGCACUUUAAGUUGGGAGGAAGGGUUGUACGUUAAUACCGUGCAAUUUUGACGUUACCGACAGAAUAAGCACCGGCUAACUCUGUGCCAGCCGCCGCCGUAA
rnacentral:rRNA from 1 species